CGAGACCUGGUGGGACAGGCUCAAGCUCUGAACUGCCCCGACGGGCGGCUGUGAUCCCCGGUUGCACAAGAGCCACUGUUCUCCAUCGUAAGUCAAGUUCGGCCUUUCUUCUUGCUCGCAUUUCGGCACGCAUCUUGAUGAAGGGUGACACCUAGAAAUAAAUUAAGGCAACGCCGAAUCCCUGGCCUCCCCGCUCUCUUGCCGGUAGCUAAUGUCCCCCCAUUAACAGGAACAGACUGUGCUUGCCCGUGCAGUGCCCGACGGGGCCAGCAGGGGUCUGACAUUCGUUGCUUUUAACCCACAGGGGCCGACUCGGUGGUGAUGCUUCGGGAAGGAAAUCGGAUUGAGACGCUAACAGCCAUGGUUUGAGAUAGCAGACCUCUUAGGUAUAAAUAGCGCAUCCAUUUCUGUAGUCAGGCCAUAAACGUUCAUCCCACAGGGCAUUGAUUUUUCCUUAUCCACAAUGAAGUGCCUGAUUUAAUCCGGUUUUCCUGUUUACCCAGAAAAGACAUUCAUAAAGGGAGCGACCUUAAUCCAGGAACUUAGACCAUCCAGAUUUCCUUCUGAAGCAAUCCACAGAUUGCCGUUCAGCCCCUAAAGAAGAUGCGGCCACCUCUUCCAGACAGAGGGAAGUCCACAUUUGUAACCAUCACUGCAGCCCGAGGGGCUAGGACCUGUCUCCUAGGACCAGCCGAGGACAAGCACGGAGAGCCCAGCUGGCCCGCACGGACACAGCCACACGGAGCUGGCGGUGGCCUCUGUCCCCAGGUCGCCUGGCCCACCGUGGUCACAGCCCCCUGGGGCGCCAACCACAGGACGCCUCCCUGUGGCACAAAGGGGU
rnacentral:lncRNA from 1 species